rnacentral:tRNA from 1 species
GGAGGGAGUUUCUGCAGGUCAGCGGCGCGCGUGUGGCCCUCUUGAAAACCGCUAUGGGUUCAUAGCCCAUCGUGGGUUCGAAUCCCACGCCCUCCGCCA